AAUGCCGGAUGCUCCGACUCCUCGCAUGGGGUGUCGGGAAAGAUUUCAUCGGUAUGGGAUGGGGUCGCGUCCUAUCAGGUAGUCGGCGGGGUAACGGCCCACCGAGCCUACGACGGGUAGCCGGCCUGAGAGGGCGACCGGCCACAUUGGGACUGAGAUACGGCCCAGACUCCUACGGGAGGCAGCAGUGGGGAAUAUUGCACAAUGGGCGCAAGCCUGAUGCAGCGACGCCGCGUGCGGGAUGACGGCCUUCGGGUUGUAAACCGCUUUUGAUCGGGAGCAAGCCUUCGGGUGAGUGUACCUUUCGAAUAAGCACCGGCUAACUACGUGCCAGCAGCCGCGGUAAUACGUAGGGUGCAAGCGUUAUCCGGAAUUAUUGGGCGUAAAGGGCUCGUAGGCGGUUCGUCGCGUCCGGUGUGAAAGUCCAUCGCUUAACGGUGGAUCUGCGCCGGGUACGGGCGGGCUGGAGUGCGGUAGGGGAGACUGGAAUUCCCGGUGUAACGGUGGAAUGUG
rnacentral:rRNA from 1 species